rnacentral:rRNA from 1 species
CAGCCGCCGCGGUAAUACGGAGGGGGCUAGCGUUGUUCGGAAUUACUGGGCGUAAAGCGCACGUAGGCGGCUUGGUAAGUUAGAAGUGAAAGCCUGGAGCUCAACUCCAGAAUUGCCUUUAAGACUGCCGAGCUAGCAGGUGAGAGAGGUAAGUGGAAUUCCGAGUGUAGAGGUGAAAUUCGUAGAUAUUCGGAAGAACACCAGUGGCGAAGGCGGCUUACUGGCUCAUACUGGACGCUGAGGUGCGAAAGCGUGGGGAGCAAACAGGAUUAGAUACCCCUGUAGUCCCUGUCUCUUAUCA